GUGGAUGCCCUGGCAGUCAGAGGCGAUGAAGGACGUGCUAAUCUGCGAUAAGCGUCGGUAAGGUGAUAUGAACCGUUAUAACCGGCGAUUUCCGAAUGGGGAAACCCAGUGUGUUUCGACACACUAUCAUUAACUGAAUCCAUAGGUUAAUGAGGCGAACCGGGGGAACUGAAACAUCUAAGUACCCCGAGGAAAAGAAAUCAACCGAGAUUCCCCCAGUAGCGGCGAGCGAACGGGGAGCAGCCCAGAGCCUGAAUCAGUGUGUGUGUUAGUGGAAGCGUCUGGAAAGGCGCGCGAUACAGGGUGACAGCCCCGUACACAAAAAUGCACAUGCUGUGAGCUCGAUGAGUAGGGCGGGACACGUGGUAUCCUGUCUGAAUAUGGGGGGACCAUCCUCCAAGGCUAAAUACUCCUGACUGACCGAUAGUGAACCAGUACCGUGAGGGAAAGGCGAAAAGAACCCCGGCGAGGGGAGUGAAAAAGAACCUGAAACCGUGUACGUACAAGCAGUGGGAGCACGCUUAGGCGUGUGACUGCGUACCUUUUGUAUAAUGGGUCAGCGACUUAUAUUCUGUAGCAAGGUUAACCGAAUAGGGGAGCCGAAGGGAAACCGAGUCUUAACUGGGCGUUAAGUUGCAGGGUAUAGACCCGAAACCCGGUGAUCUAGCCAUGGGCAGGUUGAAGGUUGGGUAACACUAACUGGAGGACCGAACCGACUAAUGUUGAAAAAUUAGCGGAUGACUUGUGGCUGGGGGUGAAAGGCCAAUCAAACCGGGAGAUAGCUGGUUCUCCCCGAAAGCUAUUUAGGUAGCGCCUCGUGAAUUCAUCUCCGGGGGUAGAGCACUGUUUCGGCAAGGGGGUCAUCCCGACUUACCAACCCGAUGCAAACUGCGAAUACCGGAGAAUGUUAUCACGGGAGACACACGGCGGGUGCUAACGUCCGUCGUGAAGAGGGAAACAACCCAGACCGCCAGCUAAGGUCCCAAAGUCAUGGUUAAGUGGGAAACGAUGUGGGAAGGCCCAGACAGCCAGGAUGUUGGCUUAGAAGCAGCCAUCAUUUAAAGAAAGCGUAAUAGCUCACUGGUCGAGUCGGCCUGCGCGGAAGAUGUAACGGGGCUAAACCAUGCACCGAAGCUGCGGCAGCGACGCUUAUGCGUUGUUGGGUAGGGGAGCGUUCUGUAAGCCUGUGAAGGUGUGCUGUGAGGCAUGCUGGAGGUAUCAGAAGUGCGAAUGCUGACAUAAGUAACGAUAAAGCGGGUGAAAAGCCCGCUCGCCGGAAGACCAAGGGUUCCUGUCCAACGUUAAUCGGGGCAGGGUGAGUCGACCCCUAAGGCGAGGCCGAAAGGCGUAGUCGAUGGGAAACAGGUUAAUAUUCCUGUACUUGGUGUUACUGCGAAGGGGGGACGGAGAAGGCUAUGUUGGCCGGGCGACGGUU
rnacentral:rRNA from 1 species